rnacentral:rRNA from 1 species
UUGGAGGGCAAGUCUGGUGCCAGCAGCCGCGGUAAUUCCAGCUCCAAUAGCGUAUAUUAAAGUUGUUGCAGUUAAAAAGCUCGUAGUUGAAUUUCGAGAUCAGUACGCUGGUCGUGCCUUCGGUAUGCACUGGUGUCACUGGUUUCUCCCUUCUGAAGAACCGUCAUGUCAUUAAGUUGGUGUGGCGGGGAAUCAGGACUGUUACUUUGAAAAAAUUAGAGUGUUUAAAGCAGGCUCACGCUUGAAUACAUUAGCAUGGAAUAACGGAAUAGGACGUUUGAUUCUAUUUUGUUGGUUUCUAGGAUCGACGUAAUGAUUAAUAGGGAUAGUUGGGGGCAUUAGUAUUCAAUUGUCAGAGGUGAAAUUCUUGGAUUUAUUGAAGACUAACUACUGCGAAAGCAUUUGCCAAGGAUGUUUUCAUUAAUCAAGAACGAAAGUUAGGGGAUCGAAGACGAUCAGAUACCGUCGUAGUCUUAACCAUAAACUAUGCCGACUAGGGAUCGGAUGAUGUUAAUUUUUUAAUGACUCAUUCGGCGCCUUACGGGAAAC